GGACACCUUCAGCUGCGGGGUCUUUGUAAUGCAGAUGGCCAAGGAAGUUGCACAGAACUUCCCCAACAUCCCCUCCAAAACUGAUAUGGAACCUUCAAAAACACAUGGAGCAACUGCGAAAAGAAAUGGCUGAGGAUAUACUAAAAAUGUCUGGUAUGUAAUGACAUUUAAUUCAAAGUAAAUGUAAAUUCUUUAUUUUUAUGUAGUUGUGUGGGACAGCCAUAUGUUCAGUUCAAGCCUAUGAUUUCAGAGUUCAUCAAAGCCAACAAGUGCUUCAUGUGUGCCACUGAUAAAGAACCUGGAUGUGGCCCAAAGACUGACUGGAAAUGAAGACAAAAGAGUUCAACAGAGUAAAGAACACAAACUGGAAGUGCAGUCUUUGUUGUUGAACAUGUAUGCUAUACCCCAUCCACACUGAAGAGGCUCUGAAAUGUACAUCAACCAGGGAUAAAGAGAAAGUUA